AUCCAGACUGUCUUUUUUAUGAAUUUAAUU
rnacentral:piRNA from 1 species